GUAUGGUGCAAGUGUUAAUCGGAAUUACUGGGCGUAAAGCGUGCGCAGGCGGUUUUGUAAGAUAGAUGUGAAAUCCCCGGGCUCAACCUGGGAAUUGCAUAUAUGACUGCAAGACUUGAGUUCGUCAGAGGAGGGUGGAAUUCCAAGUGUAGCAGUGAAAUGCGUAGAUAUUUGGAAGAACACCGAUGGCGAAGGCAGCCCUCUGGGACAUGACUGACGCUCAUGCACGAAAGCGUGGGGAGCAAACAGGAUUAGAUACCCUGGUAGUCCACGCCCUAAACGAUGUCUACUAGUUGUUGGGAGAGCAAUCUCUUGGUAACCCAGCUAACGCGUGAAGUAGACCGCCUGGGGAGU
rnacentral:rRNA from 1 species